UGUGCUGUGAGUCUCAUAUCUGGUGAAUGUUGCGCGACAUUACAGAUGUUUGCUCGCUCAGGCCAUU